GGCAGUUUAGCAUAAUGGUAAAGCACCUGACUGGUAGUCAGAGGGAUGUAAGUUCGAGUCUCAUGUCUGGCU
rnacentral:tRNA from 1 species